GCAGACGCCAAAUUGCCGGAUAUGCAGGCUGGUUGGGAGCAGGCAAUGUCAAACGUUAUGGCAGGUUUAACGGGCUUAAAUAUGGUUUAUGAAGCC
rnacentral:ncRNA from 1 species